rnacentral:rRNA from 1 species
CCUACGGGGGGCUGCAGUGGGGAAUAUUGGGCAAUGGGCGGAAGCCUGACCCAGCGACGCCGCGUGAGGGAAGAAGGCCUUUGGGUCGUAAACCUCUGUUGUAUGGGAAGAAGGAAGUGACGGUACCAUACGAGGAAGUCCCGGCUAACUACGUGCCAGCAGCCGCGGUAAUACGUAGGGGACGAGCGUUGUCCGGAAUUACUGGGCGUAAAGGGCGCGCAGGCGGAUAUUUAAGUCAGCUGUUAAAGUCAUGGGCUCAACUCAUGGAUGCGGUUGAAACUGGGUAUCUAGAGUGCUGGAGAGGUAGGCGGAAUUCCCGGUGUAGCGGUGAAAUGCGUAGAUAUCGGGAAGAACACCAGUGGCGAAGGCGGCUUACUGGCCAGCAACUGACGCUGAGGCGCGAAAGCCAGGGGAGCGAACGGGCUUAGAUACCCCAGUAGUC